rnacentral:rRNA from 1 species
AUGGAUGACAUCGAGGAGGUCGGGCACAACUGUGAGAGUGGGUUUGUGUGGAUACUUCAUAAGAAGAAGAAAGAGCACACGUUCAACAAGCUCAACCAGGCCGUCUCCUACGACACUGAGGUGACCGCUUUUGUGGAAAAGGGCAAGAUGAAGAAGGUCACCGGGGUCAAGAUCAAGGACAUGUCUUUGGUCGAGGUCUAUGUGGAUGACUCUUCUGCUGAUAAGGUUACCAUCAAGGCCGACACCGGUCUGUCUGACACUCAUGAUGCGGCCGUGUUCGCUCUUGGGGAAUAG